GAUGAACGCUGGCGGCGUGCCUAAUACAUGCAAGUCGAGCGAACAGACGAUGAUCUUGCUCCUCUGACGUUAGCGGCGGACGGGUGAGUAACACGUGUAUAACCUACCUAUAAGACUGGGAUAACUUCGGAAAACCGGAUCUAAUACCGUAUAAUAUAUUGAACCGCAUGGUUCAAUAGUGAAAGACGGUUUUGCUGUCACUUAUAGAUGGAUCCCGGCGGCAUUAGCUAGUUGGUAAGGUAACGGCUUACCAAGGCAACGAUGCGUAGCCGACCGGAGGGGGUGAUAGCCCACCUUGGAACUUGGCCACGGUCAAGAGGACUACGGGAGGGAGCAGUCGGGAACCUGCCGCAACGGGCGAAAGCAUGACGGAGCAACGCGGAGUGAGUGAUGAAGGUCUUCGGAUCGUAAAAACCUGUUAUUAGGGAAGAACAAAUGUGUAAGUAACUAUGCCCGUAUUGACGGUAACUAAUAAGAAAGCCACGGCUAACUACGUG
rnacentral:rRNA from 1 species